rnacentral:rRNA from 1 species
GAUGAACGCUGGCGGCGUGCCUAAUACAUGCAAGUCGAGCGAACAGACGAGGAGCUUGCUCCUCUGACGUUAGCGGCGGACGGGUGAGUAACACGUGGAUAACCUACCUAUAAGACUGGGAUAACUUCGGAAAACCGGAGCUAAUACCGGAUAAUAUAUUGAACCGCAUGGUUCAAUAGUGAAAGACGGUUUUGCUGUCACUUAUAGAUGGAUCCGCGCCGCAGUAGCUAGUUGGUAAGGUAACGGCUUACCAAGGCGACGAUGCGUAGCCGACCUGAGAGGGUGAUCGGCCACACUGGAACUGAGACACGGUCCAGACUCCUACGGGAGGCUGCAGUAGGGAAUCUUCCGCAAUGGGCGAAAGCCUGACGGAGCAACGCCGCGUGAGUGAUGAAGGUCUUCGGAUCGUAAAACUCUGUUAUUAGGGAAGAACAAAUGUGUAAGUAACUAUGCACGUCUUGACGGUACCUAAUCAGAAAGCCACGGCUAACUACGUG